rnacentral:misc_RNA from 1 species
AAGACGUCUGCUUUCGUCCAGCACCACCACCACCACCGGGGCAAUCAAUCAUCCAUCCCCGCAUUUCUCCACUCAACCCACACCCCAAAGAGAGGGGAAUCAGUCUCUCCCAUCCCAUCACCAACCCUCCUCCUCCUUGCCUAGGUACUCGCAGCAGCGUCGGCAAGCAAGGUUCUCUUCUCGCGCCGCCCAGAUCUGAGCGCUCCCAUGGCCAUGCCGUCCUCCCGCUCCCCGGCGCCGCCGCCAACGGCCUCCUCCUCCUACUGGUGCUACAUGUGCGACCGCUUCGUUCGCGCCGCCGCUUCCUCCUCCUCCUCACCCACUUCGCCGUCCUCCUCCUCCCCCGCCUGCCCGUCCUGCGGCGGGGGCUUCCUCGAGGAGAUGGGCGCGCCGCCGCCCCGCGCCCGCCGGCCCCGCCGCGCCGCCCGCCGCGGCGCCGACUCCCGCGCCUCGCCCUUCAACCCCGUCAUCGUUCUCCGCCGCUCCCCGCCCGCCGACGCCGACGCCGAUGGCUCCUCCUCUCCCGCCGCCGCCACCGGCAGCAGCUUCGAGCUGUUCUACGACGACGGGGCGGGGUCGGGCCUCCGCCCGCUCCCGGAGAGCAUGUCGGACUUCCUCAUGGGCUCCGGCUUCGAGCGGCUGCUGGAGCAGCUGGCCCAGAUGGAGGCCGGCGGCGGUCUGGCGGCGCGCGCCCGCGACGCGCCGCCGGCGUCCAAGGCCGCCGUGGACUCCAUGCCCGCGCUCCGCGUCGGCGCCGCCCACGUCGCGGCCGACGCGCACUGCGCCGUCUGCAAGGAGGCCUUCGAGCUGGGCGCCGAGGCCAGGGAGAUGCCCUGCGCCCACAUCUACCAUGCCGACUGCAUCCUGCCCUGGCUCGCGCUCCGCAACUCCUGCCCCGUCUGCCGCCACGAGAUGCCCGCCGACAACGCCGCCCCGCGCGCUGCCGCCGCCGCCGCCGCGGACGAGGACGCCAGGGUCGGCCUCACCAUCUGGAGGCUCCCCGGCGGCGGGUUCGCGGUCGGGAGGUUCGCCGGCGGGCCGAGGCCCGACGAGAGGGAGCUCCCCGUGGUGUACACGGAGAUGGAAAGCGGGUUCAACUUCAACAGCGGCCACGCGCCCAGGCGGAUCUCGUGGGGCGCCAGGCAGGCCGCGGCCACGGACAGGGGCACCGUCCGCCGCUUCCUCCGCAGCGUCUUCGCCUGCUUUGGACGCGGCCACGCCCCGUCGGCGGCGGCCGCGCGCGCCAUGCCUGAGCUCAACGACGACGACGUGGCGUCUGACCACAGCGCCGCCUUCAGCCGUGGGUCCAGGAGCCGGAGCACCAGCUGGAGGCUCGAGGACGGGCGUGCCGACGCCAUGGUGCAGAGAUGACCGCCGUAUACUGUGUGGAACUGCUUGUAGUACAGUUACAGUAACGCUGCCGAAAAAGAUUGCUGCUUUGUUUCAUUCAUGUUGUAUUUACCGUACUACUGCUAGCCUCCUGCCUACUACUUAGGAAGAUUUGAGGUUGUAGAACAGGGCAAAUUGGUGUUAGUACAUAUUGUAGUAGUGAGGAAGGGAAAGAGAGCAGCAUCUCGACCUCUCUUUGUUAGAGAGUUUGCAUUGCAGCUGCAGGUGGGGGGUCAACUGCGAACUCAAACACUUGUUCUUGGCUUGGUUGGUGGUAAUAUUAGGAGCGAGGUGAUGGA